rnacentral:rRNA from 1 species
UACGAAGGGGGCUAGCGUUGCUCGGAAUGACUGGGCGUAAAGGGCGCGUAGGCGGAUUGUACAGUCAGGCGUGAAAUUCCCGGGCUCAACCUGGGGGCUGCGCUUGAGACGUGCGAUCUUGAGUGGGGAAGAGGGUCGUGGAAUUCCCAGUGUAGAGGUGAAAUUCGUAGAUAUUGGGAAGAACACCGAUGGCGAAGGCAGCCCCCUGGGCCAACACUGACGCUCAGGCACGAAAGCGUGGGGAGCAAACAGG